UUAGAGUUUUGAUCCUGGCUCAGAUUGAACGCUGGCGGGAUGCUUUACACAUGCAAGUCGGACGGCAGCACGGACUUCGGUCUGGUGGCGAGUGGCGAACGGGUGAGUAAUGUAUCGGAACGUGCCCAGUAGCGGGGGAUAACUACGCGAAAGCGUGGCUAAUACCGCAUACGCCCUACGGGGGAAAGCGGGGGACCUUCGGGCCUCGCACUAUUGGAGCGGCCGAUAUCGGAUUAGCUAGUUGGUGGGGUAACGGCUCACCAAGGCGACGAUCCGUAGCUGGUUUGAGAGGACGACCAGCCACACUGGGACUGAGACACGGCCCAGACUCCUACGGGAGGCAGCAGUGGGGAAUUUUGGACAAUGGGGGCAACCCUGAUCCAGCCAUCCCGCGUGUGCGAUGAAGGCCUUCGGGUUGUAAAGCACUUUUGGCAGGAAAGAAACGGCGCCAGCUAAUACCUGGCGCUAAUGACGGUACCUGCAGAAUAAGCACCGGCUAACUACGUGCCAGCAGCCGCGGUAAUACGUAGGGUGCAAGCGUUAAUCGGAAUUACUGGGCGUAAAGCGUGCGCAGGCGGUUCGGAAAGAAAGAUGUGAAAUCCCAGAGCUUAACUUUGGAACUGCAUUUUUAACUACCGGGCUAGAGUGUGUCAGAGGGAGGUGGAAUUCCGCGUGUAGCAGUGAAAUGCGUAGAUAUGCGGAGGAACACCGAUGGCGAAGGCAGCCUCCUGGGAUAACACUGACGCUCAUGCACGAAAGCGUGGGAGCAA
rnacentral:rRNA from 1 species